rnacentral:rRNA from 1 species
GACAGAGGUGCCGAGCGUUAGGCGGAAUCACUGGGCUUAAAGCGUGUGUAGGCGGACUUCUAAGUACCUUGUGAAAUCCCACGGCUCAACCGUGGAACUGCUUGGUAUACUGGUUGUCUUGAGCCACUUAGGGGCGAGUCGGAACAGACGGUGGGAGCGGUGAAAUGCGUAGAUAUCGUUUGGAACGCCAAUGGUGAAAACAGCUCGCUGGGGAUGCACCGACGCUGAGACACGAAAGCCAGGGGAGCGAACGGG